UCUCUCUGGCAAUGGGCAAAGAGACAUAUUUGGUGAUGUUGUUCUUUUAUCAGUCAGGGGCAGAGCUGAUGGUAUUCCUUUCUUCAUCCUAGCUUGAUGCCUGGCUUGGUGGCCACAGCUGUUUUAUUUCCCAAGACACAA